CUCCAAAGUGUUGAGUUCAGUUCAGGGCUUUUCCCCCUUGUUCUGGUAAUUAAACUUUGGUACAGCAAGUGGCAAGGGAGAAAGUAUACUUGGUGUGGCUGUGUGCCCCACUCCAUUUAUAACCUCCUGCCUACAUGA